GUCCCUGUAGUACAAUGGAUAGCGCGUUGGACUUCUAAUCCAAAGGUUUGAGGUUCGAAUCCUUCCUGGGAUG
rnacentral:tRNA from 1 species